GGGGAGCUUGCUCCCUGGGUGACGAGCGGCGGACGGGUGAGUAAUGUCUGGGAAACUGCCUGAUGGAGGGGGAUAACUACUGGAAACGGUAGCUAAUACCGCAUAACGUCGCAAGACCAAAGAGGGGGACCUUCGGGCCUCUUGCCAUCAGAUGUGCCCAGAUGGGAUUAGCUAGUAGGUGGGGUAAUGGCUCACCUAGGCGACGAUCCCUAGCUGGUCUGAGAGGAUGACCAGCCACACUGGAACUGAGACACGGUCCAGACUCCUACGGGAGGCAGCAGUGGGGAAUAUUGCACAAUGGGCGCAAGCCUGAUGCAGCCAUGCCGCGUGUGUGAAGAAGGCCUUCGGGUUGUAAAGCACUUUCAGCGAGGAG
rnacentral:rRNA from 1 species